rnacentral:rRNA from 1 species
CAAUAGCGUAUAUUAAAGUUGUUGCAGUUAAAAAGCUCGUAGUUGGAUUUCUGUGAGAGUGCCGGUGUCGGCUGAUGCUUGUACACUGGCGCUCUUACAUCCUUCUGUUAACCGUUCUUGGCAUUAAUUUGCUGGUUCGUGGCUCAGAUAUUUUACCUUGAGAAAAUUAGAGUGUUUCAGGCAGGCUUAUGCCGGAAUACAUUAGCAUGGAAUAAUGGAACAGGACCUGUGCGUCUUUCGGGGCGCCGGUCUCCGUUAUUGGUUUCGGGGACUAAAGUAAUGAUUAAUAGGGAUAGUUGGGGGCAUUAGUAUUUAAUAGUCAGAGGUGAAAUUCUCGGAUUUGUUAAAGACUAACUUAUGCGAAAGCAUUUGCCAAGGAUGUUUUCAUUA